rnacentral:lncRNA from 1 species
CAGGAAAUAAGAAAGUGCACGAUCAAUCCUAAAUAAAUAACAUAAUAGAUAACAUUAGAACAACUACAACCACAAUUAUAAUAGUAGCAACUUUGAACUUUGACCUUCCUUGUCUUCUUUGACAAUGGCAUCGAUCACUCUUCUUAAUAAGAGCAGCAAGAAGAGUCUCGUAGUGUUCUUCCUUAAUCGCAGGAUCAACCCAUCUGAAAAAUCCACAACCUUCACCAAUCUCAUAUCUUCUGCAGCCCAGGAACCUCCUUCCAUGAUUUGUGGGUGUUCGUGACAUUUAAGAUCUGCAACAAGUCCACAAUAACACAAAGGAUCCUUCCUCAUUAUUGAAGGAGAAGAGGCGACAGUAGCUUAUUUGUUGCAAGAGAAGCAGAAAAAAUCGACUUUCAAAAUAAAAGGAGAUGACAAAAUUGAUAGGCAACGAAGAAUCACAUGAAAAUAAAUUUCUAUUUUUCACUAUUGAAGCUAACAAACAAAGAAGAAGGCAUCAGAUUUGAAUAGAAAUUAGCUUCUAUAAUGUUCAACAAUGGAGAAUAAGGCAGAAAGAAAAAAAAAUGACUGUUAAAUAGGCUAAAUUAUUACUGUUAGGACUUUUUUAAUUAUCU